UUGCCUGGAAUAGCAAGACAAAAUGAAGAUUCUAGUCCUGACAUUGACCAUCUUGAAUUUUGCUGCUUACUUCCCGGUAAGUUUCAGUAUUUUGGAUACUGCUAUCUUUAUGAAACUAAAAAUUAUAUGAAGGGGAAAAAUGGAUUUAGACCUUCAGUUUAUAUUUAAUGCAAGGAAAGAAUAUUUUUCUAAACAAAGCAUCAUUGUAUUGUUAAUACUCUAUUUUCUAUUUAUAAAUUUCCUUAUUUUAAAAUUGAUCACAUACAUAGUGAAGUAAAGAUAACAGAAGUUAUAAUGCAUAGUAGCAUAGGAUUUGAAGGAGCUUCUCUGUACUUUUUAUACUGCAAGAGUUUCCUUACUGAAAUUUUGCCAUGGGAUACCUGGAUUUAUAUUUACAGAGGGUACAUAACCCUAACAUAUUAGCUGUUGCUUUUCACAUUGAUAGUACAUAUUUCUAUCUUGAUUAACUUAACCAAUGGCUAAAAAGGAAAGCAAAGACUUUUAAAAUGAUGCUUUAUUUUGUCAAUUUAAUGCUGCUGUGACAACUGAUUUCAGGUUUUUAGUAAAAUAUAAUCUGCAAGAAAAACCUCACAAAAAUAUUGUACUUCUUUCCCUUUAGUACAAUGGGAGUCAGGAAAUAAACAAUCAGACAAAUCAACAUUUGUCUGCCAAUCUUCCUUGGUCCUCAUCAGACAGCCACUCAGCAAGUCCAUUCUCAUCCAUUCUAAGAACAAAAGAAAAUUCUGUACCAACAGGCAAUUCAAACAGCUACUCUGAGUCUAUUAAUAGAGGAACAAGGCUCUCUGGAUCUCUUUCAAAGGGAAAUGACAAAGAGACUUUUCAAGCUAGCAUAUAUGACUUUCUCCCACUUGGGAAUGAUGCACCAUGUAACCCUUCAACUGGCCAGCCUUCAGCUAGCUUUGUUUAUGUUGAAGAUACAGUAGAGAACUCUCCUCUGGCAGAGGAUCCAAAGAGCAAUGUUUCAUCUGUUGCUAUGCAGGAUACUUCUGCUGUCAGUACACUUUCCAGAUUUUUACCCAACUCCAGAAUAACACAGAGCAAGAUGGAAAAUAGCAUCUCAGCUCCUGUAUCCAUGACCACUCACCAGUAUAAGUCUGAUUCUACUGUUAUGCCCUACUUUCAGACAGAUGCCAACACAAUUCAGAAUCCUGUACCUUUCUUCCAAUCCACCAGAAGAUCUAAACCAUUCUUUGCCACUAAUCCUGUUGCAUAUACCCAAAAUGCUAAGAAUGAGUUCAGUUCCUCUGCAGAUGGGAGUACCACUGUCAUGUCAAGUGCAAAUAACCUCCCCAUGAAAGAAGCAGGACCAGACAAUAUAUAUUUUAUUGAUACCUCAAAUCCUAUAAAAGAAGGCAAUACAGCAAAAAUAUAUGCCACAGACAUUCCAGGAGAUUACACAACUCUGUUUGAUGUUCCUGACAUGGAGGACAAAGACAUAAUUAUAACUGAUGCUAGUAACUUGAAAAGAUAUGGCAAAACUGUGAGCAAUGCUCUUGAAAUUCCACAGAAGGAUAAUUCUAUUAUAAUUGAUGCCACGGACUUGAAGAAUAACGGUAGAACUACAGUUAAUGUGCAAACACCUAGCAUUUUGUCUGCAAACAAUGGCAAUGAUUUUGAAUCAGUCCCUAUUCUGAGUAAUUACAAGGCUGAUACCAAAUCCGUCAUGAUUGGCACUGACAGUGAUGAAGCUAUUUCCAAUAUCAAUCCAGUUAAUACUAAAAAUUAUUUUCUUAAUUAUAGAAUGUAUGAGAAAAGUAAUAAUGUUAAUAAUUCUAAUGACACCAAAACAAUGUUGGACAAGACGAAAAAUACUAUGCAUGUGGGAGACUUAAUAAUUUCCAAAACAAAUGGUAUCACUUCUACAAAGCAUUAUGCUAAUCCUAAUCCCACAGAACCAAUGACUAACACCAACAUGAACAUUAGAAAAACUUGGCCUUUAAUGGAAGGUAUGAUAAUAGAAGGCAGACAGCCUGUUCAGAUGGAAAAUACCAUAACACCUUACAAUAACAAUAUUGCUAAAACAAUGGGAUCUAAAGUAGAUGAUUCAAUAAUUAAGUACCAUUCUAAUAUCCCUGCCAAGGUACAUCUCAAAACUGACAGGAACAAUUUUAAGUCUGCAAACACUGAUGAAAUCAAGGAUAAAAUUCCUGUAGUCCAAGAAAUUAUAAAUAUAGACCAAGAUGAUGAAGUUGUAGAGGAAAUCAUCUUCAUUCCCCCAGGUAUUUCCACAACAGAAAUUAGAAGGAAAGGAUACUAUCACAACCCAGAUGCAGAUUAUGCCCAAACAGCAGGAAGCAAAAUCAUCAUCCCUUCUGACGUCACCAAUAUGUUCAAUCCCCUAUUCAGAUAUAAGAUAGAGCCCUUUACAAUGGACGGUAAAAACCUCAUUAACAACAGAGGUGACCAUAGAACCUCCACCACAAUUACUGCAAAUGAUGCUAAAGCCAACAUGGAUAUUGAAAGAUCUACUGUGUUUAAAACAGUCAAUUCCAAGAAUAACAUCACUCCUGCGGUUUUCAUCACUCACCCUGGAAAUUCUGGGUUUGUUUAUUUUAGUAAAGACAGUGUGGCUGACAUGACCUCAACGUCAAAAGUCAGUACCACUCUUUCAGAUAAGUCUACUGAUUCUGUGGAUGAAGUCAUUAAUCUCUCCAAUAAUUACAAUCAUGCUGAUGGUGUCACAGGUCCCAACCCUGAAACAGACUUUCCUAUGUACAAAGGAUACACUCUUCUGUCAGUAGCUGAGUCAUCUACCUCAAUGCCCAAUGUCCAAAAUAAUCAAGCUCAAAACUCUCUGCUAAUUAAAGACAAUCCUUUGACUGGUGCUUGGAUAGCAGAUCCUGUGAAUGAAAAUCCUCAUCUCAUUAAUAAUGCCAUUAUACAAAAAUGGAAAAUCAAUAAAGUAUCAGCAGACCCUAUGAACAUUCCAUUGGAGUCCACUUUCCUCACAGCUGAUUUCUCCUCUCCCAAUGAUGAAUACAGUGCCACUGCCAGUGCAGGUAAGAGGACCACAAAUAUGACUGACAGCUCUGAACUGAUGAUAAAUAAGGCCACAAUGCCCAAAGGAAGGCCCACUGUGGCCAUGACCUUCCUGCCUGCAAAAAAAAGUGGUAUUCUUACACCAAGAAAAAGAUUUGGAAGUUUCAUAGACAAUGAGAUAGCUAAUGAAGAAGAGUCAACUCCCUAUGUGGAAGCAAAGUCUGUAGUGGAAGGAGAUGCUGUUUUUCAGAAAAAAGAAGACCUUCCACCUACACAUAAUUUCAAGUACUUUGAGUCAGGAGAGAGUGGCUUUGAAAGGAAUGGGUUUUUGUCUGUUGAUACCUCAAAGUCUCUUUCCCAAUUAAGUAGUAACACACCUGCUACUGAAAUAACAAUAAGUGACAGAUACUUUCCUACUCUUGGAGAAGAAAAUCAUAUUCUACAUGAUGUCACAAAACCUGAAGAUGACACAAUACAUUUUCAGACAUUAAGCACCAAAACAAUAGCUCAUGGUUUGGGUAAAACUCCAGCUGUGAAACAGAAUGCAGAAGCAGCAGGUGGCACUGAAUUCCUUCCACCUAGCAAUCCUAUCUCUCAAACUGAAAGAACGGAUAACCCCAUAUUCCAUCACUUAUACUAUAACAUAAUCACUGAUAACCCACUUACUAACACUCAAGAGAACCUAAAUACUGUUCAGAACAUCAUGAAACAUAAACUAUCACUCUCCACAAUGGAUAAUGCAGACAUUAUUGAUUACAGAGAUGGCUAUCAAACACCUGUUGCCAGCGCUUCAAGCAAUGCUAAGAGACUGGUCAAUAAAGGCAAAAUGGCUGGGACUGAAACAACAAAUAUUCCUCUUGGCAUGACUACUAUAUCUGAUGAUAUUUCCUAUGUGAAUAAAAACACUGAAGUUAUAACAGACUUGACUUCAAUAGCUGCCACUUCACCAAUAAAGAAAGGUUUUCCUAACAUGAACAAAGUUAAUAUUCUUAAUCAUAAACCUAAUAAACUAGGAGAUGACUUAAACAUUCCCAGAAAAGAUCCCAAGGUGACUAGAGAUAAUGGUACUCUGUUAGUAGCUGAUUCCUCCACCUCUAUGAAGUCUGCUGCCCCUUUCAAUCAUUUUCAAGCAACAAACCCUAUAAAAAAGACCUCUUUGGCAGAUAUUAUAAUACCAAAACCUUUUCUUAGGUCUACCCCAGCUUCUCUGAUGAUCACCACUGAUGCUCUAGGAGGUGUUGAUACCAUGUUUUAUACCCCAAGGUAUGAAUCUGAAAACGCUUUCAAGGAAGAUAUAACUUUAAACAAUGAAGCAGAUCCCCCAAAAGGCAUAGGAAUUAUGGCAGAGGGAGAAGAUACACUUAAAGAAGAAAAUGUGGGGGAUCAUGUUUAUGUUAUACCUAUUGCAGAUAAUAAUAUUCCUAAAGGCAAAAACUUGGAAGAUAAACAUCAUUCUCUUAACUCUGAUGUAUAUAGUUCCACCAGAUUCAAAGGAACAACCAAAACCACAGCUGAUCAACCUGAAUUUGAGACCCCUGCAUCAACUUAUAUAACUGAAGUCUCAAAACCUCUACAUGGAAAUUUUACUUCUGAGUUUCAAGGAAAAGUGAUUGUAACAAAUAGUAAUAGCGGUGCUGAAAAUGAUGACUUUUUUGGUGGUGAUAUUCUUUAUCCAAUGAUGGGAGAAGAUGCCCCAAAAGGAUAUGCCUUUUCCCCUGAAAGAAUAUCUACGUUUAUAACUCCAAAUUUUAGGAUUCCAAUGAAAAAUAAUAUAAACCCUGCUCUGGGAGGCAUCAUCUUAUUAGAUAAAGGAACUUCCAGAAAAAAUUUUGUAUCCUAUACUGAUAAGCAAACUGAUCCAGAAACAGAAAAAGACCAAAUUAUACCUGUCACUCUUUCCACUCCUGUUUCCUCUGAAAACGUAAAUGUAGGAAAUUAUUACCAUAUGUCUAGAAUGGGUACACCUCUAUCACUGGGAUAUGCAAAUAAAUUAAGAGACAAUUCCUUUAUUCUUCAGUCUGGGAAUACUCUGCCAAAGAAAAAUAAUCUAGAUGCUAUGGAUUUGAUCGUCACUGAACCUGAUAAAAAUAAUCCUGAAUAUAUUUCAAAUAAGCGUGCUUUUGAACUAGAGAAGGAAGAAAAUAGCCCUGUUAAAAUAUAUACUCAGUUUAUAAGUGGACCAAAUGAAUUUGUAUCUCAAACACCAUCCUCUACUGGUGAGACUUCAAAGAGUCUUCUGUACAGAAAAAUUAACCCUGAGUUUGAAUCUGAAGAUAAAUACCAAACUAUCAUUCUCAAAGAAGAAAAUACCAACUCUGAUAUCGUUGCCACUUCUUUGAAGGAUUACACCAAAAACUUCAACACCCAGCAUCUGAAAAUCAUGAUGCCCUCCCAUACUGAUGCAAGAGAGACUUUCUCCCCUGAGUUUCUAAAAGGAUCAUCUGUGGAAAAGGGCACUCUACGUGAAGAUGAUGAUGUUAUCAUUCUCCCCAAAGUUUCUGGUUUGGGAAACAAAAAAAUUAAGUAUUUCUUUUCACCACACACAGAAAUAACCAGUGCCAUGGGAGAGAACAGAACAUUUGGCACUGACCCAAUUGAUCAUGCUGUGAUCACCACACCCAUAAAAAGUCAAGAUAAUUUCUACAGGAAAGGCAUAUCAUCCAACGUUAGUAACACAGCUGCUCCAGAGUUGGCAGACACCCUCACGUCAGAAAACUCUAAAGUCAAUGAAAACAAAAUGAACUUAGCUGAAGUAAGGCCUUCAGAGGACCACAUUAACCCCUUGGCUCAAGAUAUUGCCUCUCAAGCUGAGAAAAUCUCCUCUGAGGGUGAAGCAACUAAGAGUAUGAUCAAAACAACGUCAAUAGCUUCUCUUAAUCCUGUUAAUGCUGGGGAAAUGCUAACAAAUGCCACCACCAUUUCACACUAUGUCUCUACCUUUGACUCUAAGGACAGCAAUGGAAAGGGUGACCCCACCAUGCCUGAGGUAGAUGGUGUCUUGCCUGUAGAAUUAAAUUUUCUAUUCAUUCCCAAUCAGAAAAAACCUAGAACUGCAGUUGCUCUUAGUGAAAAUGAUGAUUCUUUAUCAAAUAAAUUUGUGACAGUAAAGGCAUCGGAGCCAUUGGCUGAAUAUUCUGCUAUCAUGGACCAAGACUGGAAACCCACCAAAGUGCAAAGUGACCCUCAUCCCCUCUCUGUGCUCAGUGCUCUCUCCAAAAGCAAUAAUAACAAAGAGGAGGAAAUCAUUUUUUCUGAGGUGGACAAUUUUGUCUUAGGGGAUUCAAGGACAUUGAAAGAUAAUCCUUUUAUUGGUAAAUUUAAUAUUUCUGCUAGACCUCAGGCUCCUCCCAGUUUAAAAAGAAUACUUUCAGCUAAUUCAACCAUGUCUCUGGAAAAGCCUUUAAAGCUUAAAGACAAAAACUCUGCUCUUCCUAAUGAAGAUGCAGGCACAGCAGGUUUGCUUCCUACUGCUACCAUUGGAUCUUAUGAACUACAGUGGAAAUCAACUCUUUCCCCUUUUGAUUUCACAGCUUCUAUGAGUUCAUCUAAACAUUCUGAACUUGAUCCAGUUGUAAAAAUGAAAAAAAAUACUACAGCAAAGACUAAUAAUAAUACUCCAUUUGAAGAAAGAAAUUCUACACCUCACAAAAACAUCAUUUCUCCUAAUACCAAUACUCCAACAAAAGACAUGUUAAACACUAUUUUUAAUAAAAGAUUUUUGCAAAGAAACUUUGUAGAGAAAGAUAUAAAGACUGAAAAUGAAGCAGUUCUUAUUACAGAAAACAUUUCAGAUACUACUUUAGAUGGUGAAAAUAUCCCAAACAAUGAGGAUAUAAUAAGCAUUGUACUUGAUGACACAGCUCUUGAAUAUGCUACAAAUGAGUAUGUCCUUGAACCACAGGAAAAGAAAAACAAUUCAAUUAUUAAAAAAACUGCUCUCAUUUAUGACCCCCAAGCAGUGCAGUCUCAUCUAGUCUACUCCAGUGCUGAUGCAUAUAAGCAUUUAUUUCAAGGAUCUCCAAUGGAAACCAAAACUAAGAAAAUGCUUCAAAAUUUGAUACCUAGAGAGGAACAUAUCAGUUCCAACAUUGAUGCUAUCCUCAAAAGUUCCACUGAGAAUUUGAAUUCUAAGGCUCCCAGAUCCAUGACUUACCCAUCAAUUCACACAAGUGAGAAUUUUCAAAAGUUUCUAGGUAAAACAUCUCUGAAAAGGGACACUCUAAGAGAUGAUGACACCAUCAUUACUUUCCCUGAAGACAAAAGAAUGGAAUAUAACCUUGUUCCAGACCCAGAAAUAACAGUAACCAUGGGAGAGGGAAGGAUGUUCCCAGAUGAAUCCAUUGAUCCCAUGGUAAUCACCUCACCAUUAAAAAAUAAGAUUAAAUUUUAUGGUAAAGUCUCUCCAUCUGCUGCUUAUAAUAUUGAUGGCCAACGUAAAGCAGAAAACAUUUUAUCAUCCAGAGUGGACAAUGUUAAAGACAAAACUAACACAGCAGAAACGCCAUACUCACAGCAUAACAACAUUCCUCUGGCUGAGUUCAGAGUCAUCCCUGAUGGUAAACUUUCUUUUAUCAAUGAAGAUACUAAAACUUUAAACAACAGAGUUUCAAUUUCUUCCUCACCUAUGAACACAGAUCACACUGUGGAUGAUCUCUCUACUCUCUCUACUGAAAGUAAUUAUGACAGAGGUGUUUCCAUGGCUCCAGAAGACAAUAUUAGGUCUAGAGGAUUCCUAACUCUACAAACCCCAGAAAAGACCAAGUACAUUCCAAAUGCUUCAGCUGAAAAUCUUAAAGUCUCUGAUCCAGUGACAUAUAAUGCUUUGGCUAAUUCUUCAGUUGCAUGGUCAAAUAUGGUUGAGACAAUGAUUGAAUACCCUAAUUCUACGAAGGAUGGUGAUGAUCCCAUUAAAAAUAACACUGAUCUCAAGCCCUACUCCUUGACCUCAACUAAACUUCUCACUGGUUCUACUUCUUUUUCAGACAACCCCACAAAUAAUGAGUUUGACUCACUUGUCUUAGUAAAUAGAGGAACUAGUGGCAUUUCUACAACUAAGACAGAUGAAAAAUAUUCUGAACCUCAUAGAAAAACGAAAGUCAUUUUUCCUACAAAAGUCUCUCAAUAUAGAGUCUAUGAAGAAGAAAAGAUAGCUAAUUUUUCUCAUCAAGAAGAUCCAGCUGAUAACUUUAAUUUAAGACACAUUACAAAUCCAACUGUUCUUAGUCCAGCUUGGAAGAAAAUCCUUCCCUCGGUAACUGAGUCUAAUACUCUGUCCAAAAGUGACAACAAUGUAGAAGUCACUAUUUCUUAUGCAGACAAUUUUUUCCCAAAAGAUGCAAAUACAUUAAAAGAGAAUUCUUUCACUGUUGAAUUUGAUGGUAUUUCAACUAAAUCACAAGUGUCUUCCAACUUAAAAGGAAUAUCUUCAGGUGGUUCUACAUUAACUCUUCCAGAAGCAUCUAGGCCUAAUGAUCAAAGCUCUUCUCCUGAAGUCGCUAUUGGUGAAGGGACCAUUGUAAACACUCCCACUGGAACAUACCACCUACCAUCAUGGAAACCAAGUCCUCUUCCUUCUGAUUUCACAACUCUUAUGAGUUCAUCUAAGUAUUACAAAUUUGGUCCAGUUGUAAAAAUGAAAAGAGGCAUCACAACAAAGACUAGGAAUAAUAUUCUACCUGAAGAAAGUAAUGCUCCAUCUGUCAAAGUCAAUAUUUCCCCUAAUUCCAUUAUUUCAACAAAACCCAUGAAAAACACUAUUGCUAACAAAUUUGGAGAAAAAACACUUACAGAAAAUGAAGCAUCCAUGGAAGUAUUUCCUUUUAUAGAAAACAUUUCUGAAGAGGAACAUGACACCCUUUUGGCAAGUCAAAAUAUUCCAAAUAAUAAGGAUUUAGUAACUACACUUGUUGACAAUGCCCUUGAAAAUGCUGCAGAUAACUAUAUCUUUGAAUUAAUAAAAGAAGGAAAUGGUUCCCUCACAGGAAAGUCCACACAUACUAAUGACUUCAAUGGAUCUGAGUCUCAUGCACCUUAUGCCAGUGCUGCAGUCUCUGAACAUUUAUCCCAGGAAUCUCCAGUUGAUAUCAAAACUAACAAAAAACACCAAAACAUGGUCCCCAAAGAGAAAAUUCCUAAUUCUGACAACAAUCCUACUAUUCUCAAAAGUUCUACUGUCACUUUUGAUACUAAAACUCCCAGGUCCAUGAUUUAUUCUCUAACUGAUUCAAGGUGGAGUGCAUCACCUGGGUUUCUAGAUGAAACAAUUAUAGAAAAGAAUUCUCCAGUUGAAGAUAACACAAUCAUCAAUCUCCCUAAAGGCAAAAUGAUGGAAUACCCAUUUGUUCCAGACCCAGAACUCAUGACAAGAAUGAGAGAGAGCAGAAUAUUCACAACUGAUUCUACUGAUCCUCCUGUGAUCAUCAAUCCUGUAGCAUAUAAAGACCAGUUCAAUAGGAAAGGUGCCUCAUCCGUUUUGUAUAAUAAUGCUGCCCCAGGUGGUGCAAAAUCCACCAUACCAGCCAGAUUCAAAGUAAAUAAGCAUAAAUCAAACUUGGAAUAUAAUUUUAUUCACUAA
rnacentral:lncRNA from 1 species